UUUUCCUUGCUUCAGAAAUAAGAGAGAGAGAAUAAGUAAUUCUCUCAACUCUCAUCAGAGGAGAGAACAAACGCCACUGCCGAUGACACUCAUGGCGGCACUCGCGGUGACUGGCGGUGGUCGGAGAGAGCUAGUGACCUUAAAAGAAUCCCCUUAACCCUCUCUACUCCUUUCCCAACGUGGUUUAGCCUGAAACCGUCUCUAAAUCCUUAGAUCUAGGUUUUUUAUCUCUCGAAGUUUUUGAAAUCCAAUGACCGUUGAUGUUCCCGAUCGGCUUUGAACCCCACUUGAUGUUUUGCGGAAGGGAUGACGUUCUCUGGUGGUUCGGAUGUUCGCAGUUGUUCGGCGUUUACUGUUGCUACUGUUCGGCGUUAACUGUUGCGACAAUUGGAGAGGAUGUCACUGUUGCGGCGUUAGCUUAAGUUGAUAAGGGAUUAGGGUUAGAAAACCCUAGUUUGAAAUGAGUCAGUGAUUGGGCCGGUUUGGGUCGCUUCGGGCAUCAGUUUAUAACUGGGUCACUUGUAAUGGGCUUUAGGACUGGACUUGAACUUUAUUUUUAAUCUCGACUUGGGCUAUUUGUUUUUUAA